rnacentral:rRNA from 1 species
GUGGGGAAUUUUGGACAAUGGGCGCAAGCCUGAUCCAGCAAUGCCGCGUGCAGGAAGAAGGCCUUCGGGUUGUAAACUGCUUUUGUACGGAACGAAACGGUCUUGGUUAAUACCUGAGGCUAAUGACGGUACCGUAAGAAUAAGCACCGGCUAACUACGUGCCAGCAGCCGCGGUAAUACGUAGGGUGCAAGCGUUAAUCGGAAUUACUGGGCGUAAAGCGUGCGCAGGCGGUUGUGCAAGACAGAUGUGAAAUCCCCGGGCUUAACCUGGGAAUGGCAUUUGUGACUGCACGACUAGAGUGUGUCAGAGGGGGGUAGAAUUCCACGUGUAGCAGUGAAAUGCGUAGAUAUGUGGAGGAAUACCGAUGGCGAAGGCAGCCCCCUGGGAUAACACUGACGCUCAUGCACGAAAGCGUGGGGAGCAAACAGGAUUAGAAACCCGGGUAGUCC